rnacentral:rRNA from 1 species
UGAAGGGCCGCGGUAUUUUGACCGUGCAAAGGUAGCAUAAUCAUUAGUUCUUUAAUUGUGAUCUGGUAUGAAUGGCUUGACGAGGUAUAAUCUGUCUUAAUUGUAUUGUUGAUUGAAUUUAGUCUUUGAGUUAAAAUUCUUAGAUGUUUUUAUGGGACGAGAAGACCCUAUAGAGUUUUACAUUUGGUUUCUCAUUAUUUUUAUUUGUUUGUUUUUAUUAUAAAGUGGGUAAAGUGUUUUGUUGGGGUGAUGGGAGGAAUUUUUUUAACUCCUCUUUGUUUUUAUACACUUAUUUGUGUUUUUUUGAUCCAUUUUUUUUGAUUAUAAGAUUAAAUUACCUUAGGGAUAACAGCGUUAUCUUCCUUGAGAGUUCUUAUUGGCGGGGAGGUUUGCGACCUCGAUGUUGGAUUAAGGUGAAUUUUCGGUGCAGAAGCUGAAAUUGAUUAGGUCUGUUCGACCUUUAAAAUCUUACAUGAUCUGAGUUCAGACCGGCGUGAGCCAGGUUGGUUUCUAUCUAUAAAUUUUUAUUAUACCUUAGUACGAGAGGACCGGGUAUUUGGAAUAAUUUUGUUAUUGUUGGAUAUUGUUAAUAUGUUU